rnacentral:rRNA from 1 species
GGGAGGCAGCAGUGAGGAAUUUUGGACAAUGGGCGCAAGCCUGAUCCAGCAAUGCCGCGUGAGUGAAGAAGGCCUUCGGGUUGUAAAGCUCUUUUGUCAGGGAAGAAACGGGUCUUUCUAAUACAGAGAUCUAAUGACGGUACCUGAAGAAUAAGCACCGGCUAACUACGUGCCAGCAGCCGCGGUAAUACGUAGGGUGCAAGCGUUAAUCGGAAUUACUGGGCGUAAAGCGUGCGCAGGCGGUUUUGUAAGACUGUCGUGAAAUCCCCGGGCUCAACCUGGGAAUGGCGAUGGUGACUGCAAGGCUAGAGUUUGGCAGAGGGGGGUAGAAUUCCACGUGUAGCAGUGAAAUGCGUAGAUAUGUGGAGGAACACCGAUGGCGAAGGCAGCCCCCUGGGUCAAAACUGACGCUCAUGCACGAAAGCGUGGGGAGCAAACAGGAUUAGAUACCCUGGUAGUCU